rnacentral:rRNA from 1 species
CUGGUCUUGACAUCCCGAUGACGAGUGAGCAAAAUCACUUUCCCUUCGGGGCAUUGGAGACAGGUGGUGCAUGGUUGUCGUCAGCUCGUGUCGUGAGAUGUUGGGUUAAGUCCCGCAACGAGCGCAACCCCUAUUUUCAGUAGCCAGCAGGUAAAGCUGGGCACUCUGGAGAGACUGCCUGGGAUAACCAGGAGGAAGGCGGGGAUGACGUCAAAUCAUCAUGCCCCUUAUGAUCAGGGCUACACACGUGCUACAAUGGCGUAAACAAAGGGAAGCAAAGCGGUGACGUGGAGCAAAUCCCAGAAAUAACGUCUCAGUCCGGAUUGUAGUCUGCAACUCGACUACAUGAAGCUGGAAUCGCUAGUAAUCGCGAAUCAGAAUGUCGCGGUGAAUACGUUCCC